GACGAACGCUGGCGGCGUGCUUAACACAUGCAAGUCGAGCGGUAAGGCCCUUCGGGUACACGAGCGGCGAACGGGUGAGUAACACGUGGGUGACCUGCCUCUAGCUCUGGGAUAAGCCUGGGGAAACUGGGUCUAAUACCGGAUAUGACUCCACGGCGCAUGUUGUGGGGUGGAAAGCCUUGUGUGGCUAGAGAUGGGCCCGCGGCCUAUCAGCUUGUUGGUGGGGGAUGGCCUACCAAGGCGACGACGGGUAGCCGGCCUGAGAGGGCGACCGGCCACACUGGGACUGAGACACGGCCCAGACUCCUACGGGAGGCAGCAGUGGGGAAUCUUGCGCAAUGGGCGAAAGCCUGACGCAGCGACGCCGCGUGAGGGAUGACGGCCU
rnacentral:rRNA from 1 species